rnacentral:rRNA from 1 species
GAUGAACGCUGGCGGCGUGCCUAAUACAUGCAAGUCGAGCGCACGGACGAGAAGCUUGCUUCUCUGAUGUUAGCGGCGGACGGGUGAGUAACACGUGGAUAACCUACCUAUAAGACUGGGAUAACUUCGGGAAACCGGAGCUAAUACCGGAUAAUAUUUUGAACCGCAUGGUUCAAAAGUGAAAGACGGUAUUGCUGUCACUUAUAGAUGGAUCCGCGCUGCAUUAGCUAGUUGGUAAGGUAACGGCUUACCAAGGGAACGAUGCAUAGCCGACCUGAGAGGGUGUUCGGCCACACUGGAACUGGGACACGGUCCAGCCUCCUACGGGAGGCAGCAGUAGGGAAUCUUCCGCAAUGGGCGAAGGCCUGACGGAGCAACGCCGCGUGAGGGAGGAAGGUCUUCGGAUCUUAAAACUCUGUUAUUAGGGAGGAACAGAUGUGUAAGUAACUGUGCACAUCUUGACGGUACCUAAUCAGAAAGCCACGGCUAACUACGUG